GGGGAUACUGUAAGAAAGCUACAGGAGAGCCCGGUAUUAUUUCAAGUGUGGGCUGUUUUUUUGUUGUGUUUACCUCUAGUGUAGCUCCCAGAUGCGAGCUUUUGCAUAUUACUCAUUAUAGAAACAUCAGGUUGGUUUUCCUUCCUUUAUUUGCGCUCUUCCUCUUCCUCUCUCCGCCCCCCCUUCCCAUCCGGCUGUUGUUACAUCCCUGCAGUGCUCUGCAUCCGACUUGCAGGGCCUGAGAUUGACCGCGUGGAAGCUCCCAGCUCCACCAGCCUGGUGCUGCUGGAUGGCUGGAGCUGCCCACCGAGGAGCUGCAGGCUGCUGGGAGCUGCGUUGUCUCAGUCUGUGGUUGUUCUUAUUUCGCUUGUGUUACCUCCUGCGUCUUCAUGGACUUGUGGUGCAUGGAGGAGGACACGCUUUCCUAGAGGUUUCACUUGUCUAGACAUACCAAGAGGUAGACUCGAGUUGUGCAGAACCGUUCCAUUUCAGGCUGCAAUGCCUGGUUGCUUUUGGAAUGCCCAGGUGUUUUCUGAUGGAGGCAGCUGCUGGUGUUAUUGACAAUCCAGAUGGCAAUUCUUACUGCUAUGGGCAGCACAGGAGGCACUUCUAACACUGCAGACAGGUUGGUGAGAGGGGGGUGGCCAGGUUCCAAGUGUUCCUCGGUAGCAGUUCUCUCAGAGUCAGAGUGGCUGACGUUGUGUGCAGAGAACAGCAGCAUCCCUCAUGGGCUCAGAAUGCACCAUUAAUCUAGAAUUAGAAACCAGGUUAUGGGAAGUGAUAAAAAGCCCCGUUCAAAAUUAAAUUUCCUUAAUUUCAAUGUCAUUGCCUUUCCGUGCUCAGCAGAGGAUGGUUCUGUUGGUUGGCUUUGUUCUAGGGACUGACUGCAUCCUUCCAGUGGCAUUUCUCAUCUCAGCAUUGCCAUGUUAGCAGCGUGGUCUGAAUUUCCUUCCAGCGAUAGCAUCAAAGGUUCCUUGAUUGUGCUCAAGUGAAAGAACAGAGAUUGAUGCUGGCUUCCCUCUUCCUUGUGAGGCGUUGUCAUGUUUGGCUGCUGCACGCUGUGUGUCCUGCUGGUUCUUUCUUGCUCAUGGAGGAGAGCUGGGGAAGCAGAAAGGCUGGGGGACCUGGAGGUGUGCAGGACGGGGAGCUGCAGGAGCUCUGGUGGGAGAGGACAGACAGACAGACAGACCCCCAUCACAACAAGCAGUACCCAGGCUUUCCUUGAGGAUACAUGAAAUUACUAAUUCCUAUUCUGUUUGCAUUCCGUUGUUCCAAAGCUGUGUACAGAACUUGGUGUAAUAAGUUCUUGCUUAAAAACUUUUAUCUGGUGGAUUAUGGAAGUAUUUCAUAGAAUCAUAGCA
rnacentral:lncRNA from 1 species